rfam:Frondihabitans sp. PAMC28766, complete genome.
UGGGUCGGCAAGACGGUCGCGUCGACAGCCUUCGGGCCGUCGCCGAGGAACGUCCGGGCUCCACAGAGCAGGGCGGUGGGCAACACCCACCCGGGGCAACCCGCGAGAAAGUGCAACAGAAAGCAGACCGCCACGUGGCUCCAGGGCCGCGCGGUAAGGGUGAAACGGCGGUGUAAGAGACCACCAGCGGCUCGGGUGACCGGCCGGCUAUGUAAACCUCGCCCGGAGCAAGGUCAGACAGGGAACGCUCGAGGCUGCUCGCCGAGUUCCCGGGUAGACCGCUAGAGCGCUGCGGCAACGUAUCGCCGAGAUAGAUGGCCGUCCGCACCGUGCUUGCACGGCGCGACAGAACCCGGCGUACCAGCCGGCCCAUUCG